rnacentral:rRNA from 1 species
ACGUAGGGGGCAAGCGUUAUCCGGAAUUAUUGGGCGUAAAGAGUGCGUAGGUGGUUUUUUAAGCGUGAGGUGAAAGGCAAUAGCUUAACUAUUGUAAGCCUUGCGAACUGGAAGACUUGAGUGCAGGAGAGGAAAGUGGAAUUCCUAGUGAAGCGGUGAAAUGAAUAGAUACUAGAACGGAGCCAAGAGAGGUUGGCGAGUUUCAGGGAUCUAACUGACCCUGCGGCGAGAUAGCUUGGAAAGAAAGCAG